UACGAAGGGGGCUAGCGUUGUUCGGAAUGACUGGGCGUAAAGGGUGCGUAGGCGGGCUGCCAAGUUUGGGGUGAAAUCCUCCGGCUCAACCGGGGAAGUGCCUCGAAUACUGGCGGUCUGGAGGGAGGUAGGGGCGUGCGGAACUAACGGUGGAGCGGUGAAAUGCGUUGAUAUCGUUAGGAACUCCGGUGGCGAAGGCGGCACGCUAGACCUCUUCUGACGCUGAGGCACGAAAGCCAGGGGAGCGAACGGG
rnacentral:rRNA from 1 species